GAUGAACGCUGGCGGCGUGCUUAACACAUGCAAGUCGAACGAUGAAGCCCAGCUUGCUGGGUGGAUUAGUGGCGAACGGGUGAGUAACACGUGAGUAACCUGCCCUUAACUCUGGGAUAAGCCUGGGAAACUGGGUCUAAUACCGGUUAGGAGCGUCCACCGCAUGGUGGGUGUUGGAAAGAUUUAUCGGUUUUGGAUGGACUCGCGGCCUAUCAGCUUGUUGGUGAGGUAAUGGCUCACCAAGGCGACGACGGGUAGCCGGCCUGAGAGGGUGACCGGCCACACUGGGACUGAGACACGGCCCAGACUCCUACGGGAGGCAGCAGUGGGGAAUAUUGCACAAUGGGCGCAAGCCUGAUGCAGCGACGCCGCGUGAGGGAUGACGGCCUUCGGGUUGUAAACCUCUUUCAGUAGGGAAGAAGCGAAAGUGACGGUACCUGCAGAAGAAGCACCGGCUAACUACGUG
rnacentral:rRNA from 1 species